rnacentral:rRNA from 1 species
AGAGUUUGAUCAUGGCUCAGGACGAACGCUGGCGGCGUGCCUAACACAUGCAAGUCGAACGGAACUGUUUUGAAAGAUUUCUUCGGAAUGAAUUUGAUUUAGUUUAGUGGCGGACGGGUGAGUAACGCGUGAGUAACCUGCCUUCAAGAGGGGGAUAACAUUCUGAAAAGAAUGCUAAUACCGCAUGACAUAUCGGAAUCACAUGAUUUUGAUAUCAAAGAUUUUAUCGCUUGAAGAUGGACUCGCGUCCGAUUAGUUAGUUGGUGAGGUAACGGCUCACCAAGACCGCGAUCGGUAGCCGGACUGAGAGGUUGAACGGCCACAUUGGGACUGAGACACGGCCCAGACUCCUACGGGAGGCAGCAGUGGGGGAUAUUGCGCAAUGGGGGCAACCCUGACGCAGCAACGCCGCGUGAAGGAUGAAGGUUUUCGGAUUGUAAACUUCUUUUAUUAAGGACGAAACUUGACGGUACUUAAUGAAUAAGCUCCGGCUAACUACGUGCCAGCAGCCGCGGUAAUACGUAGGGAGCAAGCGUUGUCCGGAUUUACUGGGUGUAAAGGGUGCGUAGGCGGCUUUGCAAGUCAGAUGUGAAAUCUAUGGGCUCAACCCAUAAACUGCAUUUGAAACUGUAGAGCUUGAGUGAAGUAGAGGCAGGCGGAAUUCCCCGUGUAGCGGUGAAAUGCGUAGAGAUGGGGAGGAACACCAGUGGCGAAGGCGGCCUGCUGGGCUUUAACUGACGCUGAGGCACGAAAGCGUGGGUAGCAAACAGGAUUAGAUACCCUGGUAGU